CAUACUUUAUUGUAUAUUAUUAUUUAAGAAAAGAGUUCAAUAAAAUGGUAGAAUGUUAAACGAUAUAUUACUAGGAAAUGUUUCUAAAAUUUAAGCCCAUGUCUAGGAAGAACAAGUUUCAAUCUGUUCAUAAUGUUAAUUAUCUACCUUUACCAACAUUCCGACAACGUCCUUUACUACCUUGUGGACCAUAACAAUUCUUUUCGUAGAUUUUUUGCAGAAUCUUCAUUUUAGUUUGUCCGAUAUCGGGUUUGCGUUGACAAAUUUCUUUUUUUCAGGUGUACAAACAACACCGCAAUUGAACAAUACUCGUGUGCACUUAUUCAUACAUAUGAAUGAUUG
rnacentral:lncRNA from 1 species